GAUGAACGCUAGCGGCAGGCCUAACACAUGCAAGUCGAGGGGGAAGUUACUUUCGGGUGACUGAGACCGGCGUACGGGUGCGUAACGCGUAUACAAUCUGCCUUUCACUGGGGGAUAGCCCGAAGAAAUUUGGAUUAAUACCCCAUAGUAUAUAGGGACAGCAUCGUUUUUAUAUUAAAGCUUAGGUGGUGAAAGAUGAGUAUGCGUUCUAUUAGCUAGUUGGAGAGGUAACGGCUCCCCAAGGCGAUGAUAGAUAGGGGUUCUGAGAGGGAUGUCCCCCACACUGGUACUGAGAUACGGACCAGACUCCUACGGGAGGCAGCAGUGAGGAAUAUUGGACAAUGGUCGGAAGACUGAUCCAGCCAUGCCGCGUGCAGGAUGAAGGUCUUAUGGAUUGUAAACUGCUUUUGUAAGGGAAGAAUAAGGGCUACGCGUAGUUUGAUGACGGUACCUUACGAAUAAGCAUCGGCUAACUCCGUG
rnacentral:rRNA from 1 species